CUUCUCCUCCCGCCCCAAGGAAAGCUGAGCACUGCCCUUGAGGACUGUCACGGCUGAGCCAGAGACGGCAUCAGGAGACGUGUCCCACAUACUUCCUGGUGUCCCUGCACUUGCCUGGCCGUAGGCGGUGAGCAGGAAGAAAACCAAGUCGUUUGUCCCACUGGGAGGGUACCCCGAGCCACAUGCUGGCUCUGAGCAGCAGGCGGGGGACCAGAAAAUUCAGAUUCCCAGCCUCAGGAGGCCGCUGCCUAGGCGAGGAGGAUGGGGGUGGAGAAAGACGUCGGAGGAGCUGGCUUCAGCGGGGGAGUCCCUGACCCCCCCCCCCCGCUCCCUCUGGCCUCUGGUCUCAGCACGGCACCUCCAGAGGCCACCUCUGAGGCUAGCGGGCAGAUCCCAGGUCCAGGGAGCUGUCUGCACUGGCUGCCUCCUGCCUCCGCUGCAGAUCAAAGGCCUCCCGGAGGUCAGCGCAGCCGGGGAUUCUGGGGAGUUACUUCCCCCCCGACGGAGGGGAAGGGAGCCAGUGGGCAGCUCGGUCAGCACCUGCUGCCCAUGCCACUUCAGACGGCUGUCUCCUGGUCCCCUAAAACUACCUGCACCCAAGUCACUGUCAGGACGGGGUGAACCCCACUUAAGACACCCAGGUCGCGCUGGCCUCUGGGAGUGGUGGAGGUGACAUAACUCCUGCCCUGGUGAGGCAGGUGUGUAAUCCUCAGGAGCUGCUAGGGGAGGGGCGGACAAGGCCACCUCAAGGGGCUUCAGGGAGGACCAGGGAACAACCUUCCUCAUUCAUCCAUGUCCUCAGUUUCCCCAGUACUAAGUGCCACCCCAGAGUGGUUCCUGGCCAAGGCUACCUGAGCCCAGCCCUCCACACACCCCGAGGAAGCCCUGGGGACUGGUGGCAGCUUAGCUGCCGAAGCCAAGCCCAGGGGAGUCCUUCUCCCCGCUGAUGGCUUUCCAAAGCCUGGCAGGUCCCUCCUGCUGCCCGCCUCUUCCUCCCCUUCUCCUUUCUCCGCCUCCCAAGGACAAGGACGCAGAGAUACAGCCCCCCCUGGGCCCAGCUGGUCUCUCUCAAAAUGAGUUUCUGGAAUGUGAUCCUGGAGGGGACAGUUGGACUAUGGCUGGCACGGCCCCAGGGAAGGGACGGCUCCGUGUGUGGCUUCCAGGGACCUUGGGACGCCUGGCCUGAGAGGUGCCCGGGCUGGAGGGGAGCCCUGGCAUCCAGGGCUUCGUCCUCUUCAUCCACCCCCUUCAUCCUCUCCUCCAGACCCUGGCUGCAGGCCACGGCUGCCGAACCCCACCUCCCUCCCCAUUCUCGUCCCUCGCACUCAGGCUGGACCAAGGGACGUGUUCUGGCCAAAGGCUGGAGAGGUCAAGGGCCUGGGGGUCUCGGCCCCCCCAGCCCUGCUGGGCAAACCCCUUCCCGGGAGCCGCACCGCACUGAUCUGCCUUUGUUGGGCUGAGCUAAGGUUCCAGGGAUGACUUGGUGGCCGCGGACUGCCAAUGGCUGAGGCGCUUGUCACUCAUGCCCCAGCCCCUGCCACCCCUCUCUUCCUCCUCCCCUGGUCCUUCCUGGGUCCGGGUGGGCUCAGACGCCUUCCCCCGCUGCGCUGGGUGGCCAGGGCCGACUGAGGCUAACAGUUUCUGCAGUGCCUACGAGACCCACAGGGACAGUGGUGAACACACGGUGACACAAGCAGGAAAGCCCUGCAGCUUGAUAAACUACUGGAAGAUCUGGGUUUCUGAUCCAGAGGCUGCUCCAAGAAAAACUUGCCCCAAUAGCCCUGGUGGCCGAGGAGGAAACACAGGACAGGGCAUGGCAGACAAGGUGACAUCUGAGGGGUGGGGUGGAGGCGGGGAGUGGGGACAGAGAGGUUCUCAGACUCACCCACGCUGCAUGGUCAGGACCCGGAGCCCCAGGGGUCGAGGUGGGGGCCGAAGACUCCAGGUCAGAGGACAUUCUUGGGCAGGGACACCGGCAGGCUCCUGGAAGUCCAGAUGGAGCCCUGGGUCACGCGGGCUCCUCAGGAAGCUCGUCCUGUGCGGAGCCUGAGUGAGCUGCUACUGUCAAAAUGGGAGAAAUGGGAGCGCCCACUCGGGAGCUGACCAGCCAGCUGGAGGGAACUGGCCUCAAACACCCCCAAGGAGGGGACAGAGGUGGAAUAGCCUCACUCGGUCAUAACAGGGGGGAAGGUCCCUGCCAGCACCUGGUGCCAAGUAGGUGCUUCUCGGCCGCUGCCCGCCCCCAGCCUCCUCCUUCCUGCUGCAGCCCAGCGAGGGGCUCUGCGCUACGCGGGGCUCGGGGCUCCCAGCCACCCUCCCGCACCCCCACUGCUCCAGGAGAGUCUCCGUGAUCCCCACACCAGCAAGUAGCCGCCGAGAAAGCCCAACGCCGUGGCCAUGAACAGCACCUGUCCCAGGCCUCACCUCAGCCAGCCCGAUGCCCCAUCUUGCCAUCGAGUCCCUGUGCCACGCUGGCUCCACCCUGCUGAAGAGUGGCCUCUUCCAGGAGACUCUCCUUGUCCCUUGUCAAGUGUCUCCUGGGCACUUCAGGGAGGCUCAGUGGUCAUUGUUGGAAAGCUCACAUGUGAGCAGGGGCUCCGCAGAGGGACGGUGGGACAUUCCAGGCACUGCAGCUAAUGGGCCGGUGUCACCGGGGCCUGUCACUUGGUCCCUUCAGCCACACACAGGUCUGUUGGCAACGUGGCGGCAACACUGAUGUCCCUUCCCACGGCCUAAUCGUGUGCCCCCGCAUGCUCUCAUUUGGGGGUCACAAUCUCCAGUCCCUGUCCUUGCAGGUAACUGAACUGCUGUAGCCCUGGGCCAAAGCCUGAGAGGCAGCUCAGAAGCAGGGCAUAAAGCAGAGGUGGAGAGAGGAGGACGGACUUCGGGGGACCCCUGCCCCCCAUCAAUCACAAACUGAGGUGAGGAGAGAGCCAGAGGUAGCAGCCCCACUCCUGCUGGGGGUGGCCAGGUGGCAAUGAGGCAGGUCGGAGAAACCAGCUGGGGGGGAAACUGACCCGCGUCCUCCGUCACCUAAGGGCUGCUCGGGGCAGGAGGAGCAGGACGGAGGGCCAGGCAGGCUUGCCGCACCCUCCCAGCCCUGAGGACCCUCUGUCACCUUUUCAAGGGUCAACUCUGCAGCCCACCCUCCUCAUCUGCAGGGGGAAUGGGCCACUGUCUCCCACGCCCACUGUCCCCUGCCACAGGCUCUGUCCACCCUCCCUCGUCCCCCUAGCAGACCUGACACCGGGGCUGGGGUUGCUCUCCCUCGCCAGCUCCUGAGCCCCUGGUUUCAGAGCCUCUCACUCACCCGGGUGCCAGGGAUUUGGCAAAGUUUGGUGGACACACUGAUGGGUGGAUGGGUGAAAUGACAGCUGCCCGGGAGAACCGCGGUGAUGGUAGCUGCCAUUUCUGAACCCUCGCACGGUUCGAGGUGCCAAGCAGAGCCCUUUGAACUUAUCUUCUGCUCAUUCAUUCCGAAGACGGCCCUCUGAGUUUACAAUCAUCACAGAGUCCACAGCCAGGACAGGAGGCUGGACCAUGUGCCCAAGUCCUUCAGCCAGAAAGUGUCCGGGGGAAAUUCACAGCCAAGUGGAGCGAAUGACCAGGGUCCAAAUCACCCACCCGGCGGACAAGCUCCAGGGGACGCAUCGCCCCUUCUCAGCCUUGGUUUCUUCUCCUUGAAAUGGGGGGACGGUCCCACUUUGCAGAUGGCACCCUGUGAGGGCGUGAACCCUGGAGGAUGCUGUGCCCCUUGACCUGUGCCAUCUGCCAUCUGCAUGAGUAACUUCCAGUGUCACGUGUCGUUCUGAAUCUCUAGUCUAUGUCCUUGGGGGUCCCGAUCGAUCCUUGAUUCUUGACCUUCCCUCCAGCCAGCGGUUCCUCCCCGUGUCCCCCACACACCACGGUUCAGACUGUGACAUGCUUCAUAGCACGUCCUGCAGCUGGGGGCCAUCUGCCGCCCCCUGGGUCCUAACUUCCUUGUGUAGCAGGAAACAGUGAAGCAAGGAGGCUGAAUCCUGCUCUCCCAAGCUUUCCGAUCCCUUCCUUUUCUGCCCCACCCCGCCUGCCUCACUCCCUUUAAUCCCGCCGGCCACAAAUAUGGAAUAUGACAACUCAUUCUUCUAGGAGCCGCAGGAGAUCUCCCGCCGGCUGCAGGAGAGGCCUGAUGGCUGGUGAUCCACCUCACAUGGGCCUAGGGGCUGCCCAGGUGUUCGAGCCCCAGACUCAGGGCCGACCCCAAGGCCACCAGUACUGGGGCCCGAACGCCACGCUGCUGACACUUGGGAAUGGGCGGAUCCCUGCAGUGUUCCCCAACAGCGAGGGAUUGGGGAGCUUGGCUGAAGCGGGCAGAGCCAGUGCUCAGCUGGCCUAGGCGGCCUGUCAGGAGGCCGUCCUGGAAGAAGAGGGGUUCAAACAGAUGUGGAGAUGAGGGGGGACCCUGAGGAAGCCUGGGUGGGGCAAAGCAGGUCAGAUGAGG
rnacentral:lncRNA from 1 species